rnacentral:rRNA from 1 species
GACGAACGCUGGCGGCGUGCUUAACACAUGCAAGUUGAACGGAAAGGCCCUGCUUUUGUGAGGUGCUCGAGUGGCGAACGGGUGAGUAACACGUGAGUAACCUGCCCUUGACUUUGGGAUAACUUCAGGAAACUGGGGCUAAUACCGGAUAGGAGCUCCUGCUGCAUGGUGGGGGUUGGAAAGUUUCGGCGGUUGGGGAUGGACUCGCGGCUUAUCAGCUUGUUGGUGGGGUAGUGGCUUACCAAGGCUUUGACGGGUAGCCGGCCUGAGAGGGUGACCGGCCACAUUGGGACUGAGAUACGGCCCAGACUCCUACGGGAGGCAGCAGUGGGGAAUAUUGCACAAUGGGCGGAAGCCUGAUGCAGCAACGCCGCGUGCGGGAUGACGGCCUUCGGGUUGUAAACCGCUUUCGCGUGUGACGAAGCGUGAGUGACGGUAAUGGGUAAAGAAGCACCGGCUAACUACGUG